rnacentral:rRNA from 1 species
UACGGGGGGAGCAAGCGUUGUUCGGAUUUACUGGGCGUAAAGGGCGCGUAGGCGGUCAGCACAAGUCAGUUGUGAAAUCUCCGGGCUUAACUCGGAAAGGUCAACUGAUACUGUGCGACUAGAGUGCAGAAGGGGCAACUGGAAUUCUCGGUGUAGCGGUGAAAUGCGUAGAUAUCUGGAGGAACACCGGUGGCGAAGGCGACAUCCUGGACCGGUAUUGACGCUGAUGAGCGAAAGCUAGGGGAGCAAACGGG